rnacentral:misc_RNA from 1 species
UCAACCUCUCAAGCUUGGCUUGUCGUUGGACCUUGCAGCUACCGAUAAUCGGCGGGGCGCAGGUCUUUAACCUAGUGGCGGAGUUCGGAUUGGACCCCGGAUACAACGAGCUCUCUCCAGCAUGUAUCAAGGUGGCCCACCGACCCCUAGCCUCGUCAAAAAGUCUUAACCAU